rnacentral:rRNA from 1 species
CGCUGGCGGCAGGCCUAACACAUGGAAGUCGAGCGGCAGCGCGGGGGCAACCCUGGCGGCGAGCGGCGGACGGGUGAGGAAUACAUCGGAAUCUGCCUUGUUGUGGGUGAUAACGUAGGGAAACUUACGCUAAUACCGCAUGAGACCGUAAGGUGAAAGUGGGGGAUCGCAAGACCUCAUGCUCCUGGAGCGGCCGAUAUCUGAUUAGCUAGUUGGUGAGGUAAAGGCUCACCAAGGCGACGAUCAGUAGCUGGUCUGAGAGGAUGACCAUCCACACUGGGACUGAGACACGGCCCAGACUCCUACGGGAGGCAGCAGUGGGGAAUAUUGGACAAUGGGCGCAAGCCUGAUCCAGCCAUGCCGCGUGCAGGAUGACGGUCCUAUGGAUUGUAAACUGCUUUGUACGGAACGAAACGGUGAGCUCUAAUACAGUUUGCUAAUGACGGUACCGUAAGAAUAAGCACCGGCUAACUACGUG